UACGUAGGGGGCAAGCGUUGUCGGGAUUUAUUGGGCGUAAAGAGCGUGUAGGCGGUUAGGUAGGUCCGUUGUGAAAACUCGAGGCUCAACCUCGAGACGCCGAUGGAAACCAUCUAACUAGAGUCCGGAAGAGGAGAGUGGAAUUCCUGGUGUAGCGGUGAAAUGCGCAGAUAUCAGGAAGAACACCCGUGGCUAAGGCGGCUCUCUAGUACGGUACUGACGCUGAGACGCGAAAGCGUGGGGAGCGAACAGG
rnacentral:rRNA from 1 species